GACGAACGCUGGCGACGUGCUUAACACAUGCAAGUCGAACGGUAAGGCCCUUCGGGGUACACGAGUGGCGGACGGGUGAGUAACACGUGGGUGAUCUGCCCUGCACUUCGGGAUAAGCCUGGGAAACUGGGUCUAAUACCGGAUAGGACCACUGCCUGCAUGGGUGGGGGUGGAAAGCUUUUGCGGUGUGGGAUGGGCCCGCGGCCUAUCAGCUUGUUGGUGGGGUGAUGGCCUACCAAGGCGACGACGGGUAGCCGGCCUGAGAGGGUGACCGGCCACACUGGGACUGAGAUACGGCCCAGACUCCUACGGGAGGCAGCAGUGGGGAAUAUUGCACAAUGGGCGCAAGCCUGAUGCAGCGACGCCGCGUGAGGGAUGACGGCCUUCGGGUUGUAAACCUCUUUCAGCACAGACGAAGCGCAAGUGACGGUAUGUGCAGAAGAAGGACCGGCCAACUACGUGCCAGCCGCCGCGGUAA
rnacentral:rRNA from 1 species